GCAAAACCACGUAAUAAGAAAAAAUAUGUUUGCAGAGAGGGUGAUGAAGACUCCAUCACACGGUUCUUUACAGUUAAUGCACAGUAUACACGGUUGAUUCAUAUUCUUAAUAUUUUUUCCGGCCAAUUGGUUUUGGCUGGUUUAGGUGCUAUAUAGAGUAAAACCAAUGCUAUGUAAAACUGACAUCUCUCUGGGCUAAUGGUCCUUCUGGGUAAUUAUCAUUGUAGAUUUGCCUUAAAAACAGCAAAAUACAGUACACUUGAGCUUCUGUUUUGGAGCUCUAUCAUGUUUUAAUUGGCCAUUAUAAAUUGGUUUCCAACUAGGCUGGGAAGCUUUGAAAAGUAAUUUGUAG